UAUUGUAUUACAUGCCGGAAACAAACUUGCAAUACAUCUAUUUUCAGUGUAUAACUGGAAGCACUACCCAAGAGCUGUUCGUCUCUAUCGACCAGCACUUUCGUUGGCAGACGCCGUCUAUAUGGCAGCGACCAUAAAUAACUCAGUUCCUGUCCGAGGAGCCCGAGGAGUGGUGACACGAGUGUUUUAUGAUGUUCUAAAUACCACUUCUGUUCUGGGUAAGGCAAUAGCAUGAGUCUCUAACCAUCACGGUACGUUAUCUUCUUAUACGAGUUUGCCGGCUGGUUUACCACGCUNNN
rnacentral:lncRNA from 1 species